rnacentral:rRNA from 1 species
GACGAACGCUGGCGGCGUGCUUAACACAUGCAAGUCGAACGGAAAGGCCCUGCUUUUGUGGGGUGCUCGAGUGGCGAACGGGUGAGUAACACGUGAGUAACCUGCCCUUGACUUUGGGAUAACUUCAGGAAACUGGGGCUAAUACCGGAUAGGAGCUCCUGCUGCAUGGUGGGGGUUGGAAAGUUUCGGCUGUUGGGGAUGGACUCGCGGCUUAUCAGCUUGUUGGUGGGGUAGUGGCUUACCAAGGCUUUGACGGGUAGCCGGCCUGAGAGGGUGACCGGCCACCGGGGGCCGGAGAGAGGCCCCAGAGUGCAACGGUGGACAGUGGGGGGAAUUCUGAACCAGUGGGCGGGCGCCGGAGAAAGAGGCCCCGGGGGCGGAAAGCCGGCUUGGGGGUAGAAAAAAGCUUCAGGUUGUGACCCAGCGGGAGUGACGGUAGCGAAUAAAGAAGCACCGGCUAACUACGUG